rnacentral:lncRNA from 1 species
AUGGAAACGGGGUCACGACCACGGCAAACGCUACUGGCGCCCGCCCGCGCCCGGACGAGGAGAACCGCCCGCUCGCCCGCCGCGCUGCUGGGGCAGCGGGGAGCCCUCCGCCUCGCUGCCCGGGAUGGCGGCGAGCGCCUCAGCGCCGAUAAACACUUUUCACCCGAGCUUUUAAGAAAACGAGUCACUUUUUUCCUUACCGCAGCCUGCUCACUUCCUUCUCCUGAGCGCGCCGUCAGGCCCUGCCAGCCAUGUCGGAGCUGCGCGGGAGGUGCCGCUGUGGCAAAGGCGCCUGGGCCGCGCGGCGAGGGCCRGGGGGACCCCGCAGGGGGACGCGGGCAGCGAGGGCCGGGGCACUGGGGGCAGGGGUCACCCAUGCGGCAAGGGCUGGGGUGCGAGGGGGGACACGUGCUGGGGGGGCAUGGUGGGACCCCCACAAGGGCACACACGGCGAGGGCUGGGGUGCAGGGGGGACCCCACGGGGGAACACGCGGCAAGGGCCAGGGAGACCCCGCAGGGGAGGCRCGCAGCGAGGGCCAGGGGGCCGCGCCAAGGGGCUGCGGCCUGGCUUUACCUGCGCCACCGCCAUGGCUCCUCGUGUCAGGCGGCCCCAGCCAGGCCGGGGCAGAUCCGCAUGGACGUCACGGCACUCCUCGCGCAGCGCUCCUCAUGCGUGGCGCCGGUGGAGGCCAGGAGCCGGGCAGGGCCCGGGCCACCGGCAGAUCACCUGAGCACAGCCUGGGCCGGAGGGCAGCCCAGGCCAGCGCCUGCCGCCUCCCCCAAGGGGCACCGGGGCUGGAGAGGGGCAGCCGCGACCCCCCCCCCGCCCCUCCGUGGCUGCCCACGGAGCGCCCCCGCCCCGGUAACCGGGGAAGGUGCCACAGGGCCGAGCGCAGCACGCUGCUCCGCCGAAGCAGCCUACCGCAUGCGACACGGGCAGGGCGCGCAGCAGGACGCUGCCUUUGCUCUUACGCUCGCCCCAGCGGCUCACGUCGGAGCGGGAACAGCACCAGCCGGGCCCCACACCCCUCCGCUGCCACCACCUGCCCUUGGCUCCGUCCCCGGAGUGGCGCCGGGACCGAGCAAGGCAGUGCCGAGGCCUCGCGCCGCCCUGCYGCGGGAUGCUCUUGGUCACGUGAGAGCAGAGUCCUCAAAAAUUGGGGUGAAAAUACACUAGUUCGAAUUAAAAAAAAAAAGUUAUAUAAAGGGAGCUGCACUUCCUUUGUGCACUUAUAUCAUUGA